rnacentral:rRNA from 1 species
UACGGGGGGGGGCAAGCGUUGUUCGGAAUUACUGGGCGUAAAGGGCUCGUAGGCGGCCAACUAAGUCAGACGUGAAAUCCCUCGGCUUAACCGGGGAACUGCGUCUGAUACUGGAUGGCUCGAGUUUGGGAGAGGGAUGCGGAAUUCCAGGUGUAGCGGUGAAAUGCGUAGAUAUUGGGAGGAACACCGGUGGCGAAGGCGGCCCUCUGGACCGGUACUGACGCUGAUGCGCGAAAGCGUGGGUAGCAAACGGGG